UCGCGGCUUAUCACCGGCAGUCUCCCUAGAGUGCCCAACUGAAUGAUGGCAACUAAGGACGUGGGUUGCGCUCGUUGCGGGACUUAACCCAACAUCUCACGACACGAGCUGACGACAGCCAUGCAGCAUCUGUGGUGCACCCUCGAAGGUCACACGUUUCCUACCACCGACAUGUCAAGCCUAGGUAAGGUUCUUCGCGUUGCGUCGAAUUAAACCACAUGCUCCACCGCUUGUGCGGGCCCCCGUCAAUUCCUUUGAGUUUCAACCUUGCGGUCGUACUCCCCAGGCGGGGUACUUCCUGCGUUAGCGCCGGCACCCAGAGGGUCGCUCCCCCAGGCACCUAGUACCCAUCGUUUACGGCGUGGACUAC
rnacentral:misc_RNA from 1 species